rnacentral:rRNA from 1 species
AUUGAACGCUGGCGGCAGGCCUAACACAUGCAAGUCGAGCGAGCGGCGGACGGGUGAGUAAUGUAUGGGGAUCUGCCCGAUUGAGGGGGAUAACUACUGGAAACGGUGGCUAAUACUGCAUACUAUCGGAUGAACCCAUUUGGGUUUAGCUAGUAGGUGGGGUAAAGGCUCACCUAGGCAACGAGCUCUAGCUGGUCUGAGAGGAUGAUCAGCCACACUGGGACUGAGACACGGCCCAGACUCCGACGGGAGGCAGCAGUGGGGAAUAUUGGACAAUGGGCGGAAUCCUGAUGCAGCAAUGCCGCGUGUAUGAAGAAGGCUUUCGGGUUGUAAAGUACUUUCGGCGGGGAGGUGUUACCCGCAGAAGAAGCACCGGCUAACUCCGUGCCAGCAGCCGCGGUAAUUC